rnacentral:tRNA from 1 species
GAGGUGGUCACAGCGAACUGCUAACUCACACUACCGGGCUAAACCCCCGGCCACCUCC